GACAGAGGGGGCAAGCGUUGCUCGGAAUUACUGGGCGUAAAGGGCGCGUAGGCGGGACGGCAAGUCGGUCGUGAAAUCCCUCGGCUCAACUGAGGAUCGUCGAUCGAUACUGCCGUUCUUGAGGAUUGCAGAGGAGACUGGAAUUCCCGGUGUAGCGGUGAAAUGCGCAGAUAUCAGGAGGAACACCGGUGGCGAAGGCGGUUCUCUGGGCAUUACCUGACGCUGAGGAGCGAAAGUGUGGGGAGCGAACAGG
rnacentral:rRNA from 1 species